AUACGUAGGAGGCAAGCGUUAUCCGGAAUUAUUGGGCGUAAAGAGGGCGUAGGCGGCUUUUCAAGUCGGAUGUAAAAUCUCCCGGCUCAACUGGGAGGGCUCAUUCGAUACUGUUGAGCUAGAGGGCAGCAGAGGGAGACGGAAUUCCCGGUGGAGUGGUGAAAUGCGUAGAUAUCGGGAGGAACACCAGUGGCGAAGGCGGUCUUCUGGGCUGUUCCUGACGCUGAGGCCCAAAAGCGUGGGGAGCGAACAGGAUUAGAUACCCGAGUAGUCC
rnacentral:rRNA from 1 species